CGGAACGUCUGGAAACAGUGCCCCGCAAGGUCGGUAUACAGGUGGGCAUGGUGUCGUCAGCUCGUGUCGUGAGAUGUUGGGUUAAGUCCCGCAACGAGCGCAACCCUCGUUCUAUGUUGCCAGCACGUAAUGGUGGGAACUCAUAGGAGACUGCCGGGGUCAACUCGGAGGAAGGUGGGGAGGACGUCAAAUCAUCAUGCCCCUUAUGUCUUGGGCUUCACGCAUGCUACAAUGGCCGGUACAAAGGGCUGCAAUACCGUAAGGUGGAGCGAAUCCCAAAAAGCCGGUCUCAGUUCGGAUUGAGGUCUGCAACUCGACCUCAUGAAGUCGGAGUCGCUAGUAAUCGCAGAUCAGCAACGCUGCGGUGAAUACGUUCCCGGGCCUUGUACACACCGCCCGUCAAGUCAUGAAAGUCG
rnacentral:rRNA from 1 species